GAGACAGAGAUUUUUCAAAGGUGGGGUUUUGGCCUGAGAGCUUCUUUCUUCUUCUUUUUCUUCUUAGGUCCUGUCACAGGGAGUGAAGACAGAGGAAAUGGAGAAAGCCAUGACAAAGGUUGGGACCUUUUGGAUAGCCAAGAAAGCCAAGCGAGAGUUCUCCAACAUCGCCGACGACCUUUCAUCUAUAUCGGGCACGGUCGAGGAGAAGGCGAAGUGGGUCAUCAACAAGCUGAAAGGCAAGCCGCCGAAACUGCUGCCCGAUCUCCUCCGGGAGCACAACCUCCCGCAGGCCUCUUCCCUCGGAACGUCACGUGCUACGAGCUCGAUGCGUCCAGUUCGAAGCUCGUCGUCUACUUGCCCUCCGCCUGCGAAGCCAGCUUCAAGGACGGGUCCGUGGUGAGGUACGCGAACCGUGUCAAAGGGACGCUCUCCAGGGGGAAGCUCGCCGGGAUUGAAGGCAUGAAGACCAAGGUCCUGGUGUGGGUGAAGGUCACCAGCGUGGCCGUCGAGAGCCACAAGUCCGACAAGAUCUGGCUCACGGCCGGCGUCAAGAAGCCGAGGCCUAGGGGGACGCGUACGAAAUGGCCCGCGACGCCAUUCGUGUCGAUGAGUUUUGAAAUUUUCCUAGUCGAAUUGCACCAUAAAAUGGCGAGCAUAAUAGAUCUAUUAUCAAUUUUGGUGAAUUCAUCUUUGUUGUACAAAUUACAGAAUUUGUCAUUUAAGACGUACGAAUUGAAAAUUGAGAAAAUGAUACAAAUGAAUUUUAAACUUUAAUUCAAA